rnacentral:rRNA from 1 species
CAGCCGCCACGGUAAUACGUAGGUGGCAAGCGUUGUCCGGAAUUAUUGGGCGUAAAGGGCUCGCAGGCGGUUUCUUAAAUCUGAUGUGAAAGCCCCCGGCUCAACCGGGGAGGGUCAUUGGAAACUGGGAGACUUGAGUGCAGAAGAGGAGAGUGGAAUUCCACGUGUAGCGGUGAAAUGCGUAGAGAUGUGGAGGAACACCAGCGGCGAAGGCGACUCUCUGGUCUGUAACUGACGCUGAGGAGCGAAAGCGUGGGGAGCGAACAGGAUUAGAUACCCCAGUAGUCCCUGUCUCUUAUAC